rnacentral:lncRNA from 1 species
GGCGAUCGCCCUCACUGUCCUGUCAAGGUCACAGUGAAAAUAAGAGCUGGCAAAGCCGCUCUCCCACUGUCUUGACAAGGUCACAGAGACCCUCGCUGGUUGGUGGGAAACGGAAACCCUGAGACCCUUUUUUACGUAAUUGGGACUCUUGAUUUUCAUGCUCAUGUCCUGACAGGAGGAUGAGUAUGGUAAAUGCCAAACCAAAUAAACUUCAGAGGGCUAGAACCUAACAGGCAGUUCAUCAUGGAAGGCUGUUCCACUACCCGUCAGCACGUCAAGGACAACUAGAAAGCUGCUCUACUGUCUCAGCACCUUGAGGACAAAACUGAUAAUGGACAACAAUCAUUCUCCGAAAGGUCACGAGAAUUUUAGGCACCACCUUGAUCAUAUCGACUAGAACCCAAGCCCAUAUUCCUGACCUCUUAGAAAUCCUAAUCAUCAUGCUAUUGUACAAAACCCACCAAAUGUAGUUUCAUUCUUGAUUAAGGAAAGUUAUGUUAUACACUGAGGAAAGUUAAGACAUAUAAGGAUACAUUCUUCUCAUUUCUAUAAACCCUCUUUUACUUCACAUAGGGAUUUAUGAUGAGCAUACUUAAUAUUGGCGGAAAGUGGACUCAUGUUUAGAACUUACUUUUUAUUGAGAAAGAUCAUAAAGAUAUCAGACCUAGUGCACCUUGACUGAGAAACAAAGAAACUCUUUGAGAAAGCAGCUCAACCAGUUUUAUGAGAAUAAAUUUAGGAAUUAAUUAAAGUAGCUUUAUAAGACAUAUUUUUAGAAUAAUGUUAGAAGUAUUAUUCUAUUUAGUUUCUUGGGUUUAGAAUUCUUAAGUUUUUAGCUGUAUGGGUUUCUGAUAUGUUUUAAGAAUGGUUUAUAAACUUUAGGAUAUUUUAAGUAUAAGAUUUAAGGGGACGUUUUUUAGAUGGGGAUUUUAGAUUUAAAAUAAAAAGUGUAGGUGUACUUUAAAACUUAAAGGUUAAAGAUAGGUUAGGAGAGUAGACUCUGGUUACAUAGUUUGGCAUUAGUUAAUAAGAAAAUAGUACAUCUUGGGAAAAUCUGAAAAAAAUGUAAAUUAGUGAUGCAUUUUAUUAAUGAUUGAUAAUUAAAAGUCACAUCCUGGAAAAAUGUAAAUUGAUGUUACAUUUUUCUAUAACCCUAAUUAUGGUUAGGGAACGUGAUGUCUUGGCAAAGUUUUGAAAUUGUAU